GAUGCCCCAGUUUCCUUGUUUGGACGAUUAGAGGGAUAAUUGAAUGAAACUGAUGAACGAAGGCGAUUGGAGGGAUGACGAUGUCAGUCGCCCAUUCGUUGAUCGGGCAAAGGAAAAGAACUGAUCGAAGGCAAGACAAAACGAACGCCUCCGGUGGUCCAUCUGGCGAGCAAAGAAGAAGAAAUACGGGAACGAAAUCAGAAGAAGGAAACACGCAGGCGAUGACUCUGCAUCUGGGUCCUUGCUCGUCGGAGGUGACGAAGAAGCCCGAAGGAAGAAGAAGCUCGCAGGCGGCUAAUGCGAAAUUUUUUUUCGAUUGAUCGCGAAGGGAACGUCUCCGGGGGUUGGCGGGGCCGAAGAGACGGAGGGAAGAGCAGGGAGGCUGCGCUAUUUCUGUCAGAUAGCGAGAGGCUAAAGGGAAAGCGGUUCAGUGGUUUUUGGAUCGAGGGUGUGGUGUGGCUAAGAGGUUGUGAAGGGAGGGAAAAGGAGAACAGAUGCAGCGGUGCUUCUGGUGGUCUCGGUGGGUGCAGCGUGGGCUGCUCAAACGGUUUGCCUUCGUUUUCUUUUCUUCUUCGUUUUUUUUUUUUUUUUUUUUGUUUUGACAGAAAUCGAUGGGUGUUUGGGUUUGAUUAUUGAUUGAAAAAAAAAAAAAAAAAAAAAAAACGAGGGAGGCUGCCACGAGGAAGAAGAAGGAAGAGAAGAACGAAGGAAGAAUGAACUGGAAGCUGUGGUUCUUUUUGUUUGCAGGUAAACACGAGAAUAAGAACAAGAAUGUUCUUGACUGGAAACAAAGAUGCAGGCAGAAAAUAAAGAGUUGUUUUUGAGUGUGGUAUUGGUUGAAGGAAGAGUGCAAGCAAGCUUCAGAGAUGCUUUCUUUCCUUUGUGUGUAAUUUUAGAUGUGCAAGAAUUAAUAGCUGUCAUUUGGGUACAAUAUGUGUAUUUUGUGUGAAAUUUGCAAAUAAUGAAUUUCUUUAUGUAUUAUGUGUA